UUUAAAUUUAUAGUUAAUUAGUAUUGUGAAAGAAUUUUGAAAUAUUAUGAAAAAUAAAAUUUUUAGAAAGUAAUUUUUAUUUAUUGUAUCUUGUGUAUCAGAGUUUAUUAAAAAUUUUUAAUUUAUAAAUUAAUUUCUCGAAUUUAAAAGAGUUAAAUAAUUAUUAAAGUUAUUGUAGCAAAAUUAUUUUAAAUAAUUAUUUAGAAAUGAAAUGUUAAUCGUUUUUAAAUAUAUCUAGUUUUUAUAGAAAAAAAUUUAAUUUUAAAUUUAAAAAUUAUUUAAUUAAUUUAUUAAUUAAAUAAUUAUUUAAAUUUUAUAAUUUAAGGGAUAAGCUUUAAAUUAAAUUUUUAUAAUAUUAAAUUUUUAUUUUGAAAAUUUUAUAAUUUAUAUUGUUAAUAAAUUUUAUUUUGUUAUAAAUAAUUUCAUUUUUUUUAAAAUUUAAAUUUUAUUUAAUUUUUUAUAUAAAAUUUAUUUAUAAUUAUAUAAAGUUAAUUAUAAUGAUAAAAUUAGUAUAUUAUUUAAUAUUAAAUUAAAAUUAAUUUUUGAUUAAUAAUUAAAUUAAUUAAAAGGAAUUCGGCAAAUAUUUAUUUUCACUUGUUUAUCAAAAACAUGUCUUUUUGUUAUUUAAUUUAAAGUCUAAUCUGCCCACUGAUUUAUAAAAAUUGAAGGGCUGCAGUAUAUUGACUGUACAAAGGUAGCAUAAUCAUUAGUCUCUUAAUUGGUGACUUGUAUGAAAGAUUGGAUGAAAAAUAUACUGUCUCUUAAUUAAUAUAUAGAAUUUAAUUUUUUAUUUAAAAAGUUAAAAUAAUUUAAAAAGACGAGAAGACCCUAUAGAGUUUAAUAAAUUAUUUUAUGAAAGUUUUAUUUAUAUUUACUAAUAAUUUUAUAAAUUUAUUUAUUUUGUUGGGGUGAUAAAAAAAUAAAUUUAACUUUUUUUAAGUAAUUUACAUGAAUAAGUGAUUAAU
rnacentral:rRNA from 1 species